CACCAGUAGCUUAAUAUAAAGCUCUCCACUGAAAAUGGAGGAGAUGAUUAAUUAGUCCUGUGU
rnacentral:tRNA from 1 species